UCAACGGAGAGUUUGAUCCUGGCUCAGGACGAACGCUGGCGGCGCGUUUAACACAUGCAAGUCGAGGGACGAAGCCACCCUUCGGGGUGGUGGAAACCGGCGAACGGGUGAGUAACACGUGAGGAACCCACCCUGCGCUUUGGGAUAACCCCGGGAAACCGGGGCUAAUACCGGAUAUUCUCUCCGGAUCGCAUGAUCUGGACAGGAAAGCUCCGGCGGCGCAGGACGGCCUCGCGGCCUAUCAGCUAGUUGGUGAGGUAACGGCUCACCAAGGCGACGACGGGUAGCUGGAGUGAGAGCUCGUACAGCCACACUGGGACUGAGACACGGCCCAGACUCCUACGGGAGGCAGCAGUGGAGAAUCUUGCGCAAUGGGCGAAAGCCUGACGCAGCGACGCCGCGUGCGGGAAGAAGGCCUUCGG
rnacentral:rRNA from 1 species